CUGGAAUACAUGUUUGUGUUCCUGACCCUAUAGUGUUCCUGACCCUAUAGUGUUCCUUUCAAUAUCAAAGUCGGUGUUCCUUGUUAACACAGAUCUAGUUUAAAGAUGACUUUGUGGCAGAGUGAAAGUACUAAACGCAAGCAAAUAUAAAGAAUCUGAGUUGCAAUAAUAUAGAAACAUUUUCUCAGUUGCAUAUCUACAAAUUAUGAAGGUUCUAUAAUUUAAAUGUUUGAUUCCUCUGAGAACAAUUGAAUCUUAGGAUGACUUACAUUUGGC